rnacentral:rRNA from 1 species
AUAAGCUCACAGGAGGGUGAUCUUCAGUGAGAAAAGAUAGCCUCUGAUUUAAGCUAUCACUAGAGGAUGAGCUUGCGUACCAUUAGUUUGUUGGUGAGGUAACGGCUCACCAAGGCGAAGAUGGUUAGCUGGUCUGAGAGGACGAUCAGCCACACUGGAACUGAGACACGGUCCAGACUCCUACGGGAGGCAGCAGUAGGGAAUUUUGCGCAAUGGGGGCAACCCUGACGCAGCGACGCCGCGUGAGUGAAGAAGGCCUUCGGGUUGUAAAGCUCUGUCAGGAGGGAUGAAUAAUGGGUGUCAAACAGGCAUACCAGAUGACAGUACCUCCAGAGGAAGCACCGGCUAACUCUGUGCCAGCAGCCGCGGUAAUACAGAGGGUGCAAGCGUUAUUCGGAAUUACUGGGCGUAAAGCGCAUGUAGGUGGGCUAUCAAGUCAGGUGUGAAAUCCCGGAGCUCAACUUCGGAAUUGCACUUGAAACUGGUAGUCUUGAGCCUGGAAGGGGUAAGCGGAAUUCCCUGGUGUAGAGGU